CCCUGGAAUUAGGUCAGUUUCAGAAAUGUGCGUUUUGUUUGUGUUUUCACUGUUUCCUCUGUAGAAUAAUCGUGGAGAGUGUUUCAUUUAUAGAUCGCAUAUUAACUAAACUUUCAAAAGUGACGUAUAGAUUUAAAUUUUGUAGACCGAAAUUGUCUGUUAAUGUAAUUCUACUUGGGAUUAAUUGGUGUGUUUAAAUGAAGUAAUGAUCAAAUGUGAAGUGACCCAUUCACGUGACAUUGACCGAUGUUGUGUCAGGCCAGAUUUACCAUGCCCAUGUUUGUUCCUGUGUCAGUGACCAUGUGAUUCGUAGCUGCCCGACCAAUUGACUGUGGAAAGGCUGUAGCGUUGUCCACCAUGUCUCCAUGGAUACACUCGAUGUCCCACCUGUAUUUACCGAUGCCCAGGCGCUCAAUCGGCAGCUCGGGCCCACCAUCCCCUCCUCCCCCGCCUCGAGACAUCUGGGCAGCGAUUUCCUCGACGUAACGGUAUCGAAUGUCAGAACGCUGCCUUUUUAGAUAACAGGCAUUGAAGUUGCCGAGGACAGCCAACGUGGACCCUAUUUACGUGUAUAAUCAUUAUUGGAGCGGAGUGUUUCAAAACGAACGUUGAAUGAAUCUCUGUUGGAUAAAACGGUUUCAAAACUAAUGGAUUACUAAAUAAAAAAUUGAACGAAUGGCCCGUUUUAAUUAUUUAACCUUUAAAUCUCUUGUGUUUCACUGUUUACUAUUUAUUAUGUUUUUCGACACUGUGGCAUUGGGGCUCAAUUUCUAAAUAUGUGAAUGCAUUACAGUUGAACUAUUUGUUCUCCUCUUCAUCAUGUAAUGUGAAUAGUAAUGUGUACUUAAUAAUCGAAAUGUCCAAGUUUGUUUCGCCAGACUAGAAAGCUAAUUAAAUCAUAUUUUGAAAUAAAACACCGUGUACGCAUGGAUGCUUGAUUGAUUUUGAGGAUCUUGACGAUUAGUUGUUCAUGUCCAUGUUAAUAAUACCCAUUGUUCAUAGGAUGGCCUAAAUCGGGAGAUCUCGGGUUGCAUUCCAAUAACACGGAUCGUUUGCGAUAUAUUUAUAAGAAUGCACGGUUCUCUCGGGGAAAAAGGCGUAAGAUCUUGUAUCUAUAGAAGCUUUAUAUAUGUUUGAACUCAGCUUUAUUUUGAAAGCAUUUAUUGUACAUCAACAGAACAUCUUACUAUGUAAGACCAGCACAGAAAGGCAGAAAAACGUAAGAAGAAAACAACAGAGUCAUGAUGGCCCAAAGAGCUCAACUGAGUAAUGGCACAGAUGAAAACCAUACCGAUGUAACUGGUUCGAGAAUAAGGAUAUCUGCAGAAUAGUUCUGCACAUGAGGAUGGGACGAGGACUGUAAAAUAAACCUGGGUGGGUUUAACGGCAUUUGUAUUAGUAUGAGUUGGCUCUUGGAAUAGGCGUCAGUGGUUUUGGUAAAUUAAAUGACAAUGGAAAGUGAAGACAAAACUAAUUUGCCGAAAUUGCUUGUCGACGGAUCAGUACUUAACUAGAUUGAAGAACAUGGCAAAUGCAUGCACCGUAGAAUAUUAAAACGACAUUGAUGUGAAUUAUCUUGUAUUACUAACCGACAGAGGUCCACACACCGAGGUAUGUGCGUUUGUGUGUGUGGUGUGUGUUUGUGUGUCCGUCUGUGCUUAAUAUAUGUCCCGAGGUCCACACACGGGUAUAUUUAAUUUUGCUUCCAAUAUUUCAUAUCUUGUAUUUCUUAUCUCCUAACAUAGAAUAAACUUGACCUACCCGGUCUCCUACACAA